GUUUUGUUUUGUUUUUGUUUUUUGCCAGCUGUAUGUCUUUUUUGGAGAAAGGUCUAUUAAGAUCUUCUGCCCAUUUUUUUGACUGGCUUGUUUGUCUUUUUGACAUUGAGCUGCAUGAGUUGUUGGUUUAUUUUGGAGAUUAAUUCCUUGUCAGUUGCCUCAUUUGCAAAGAUUUUCUCUCAUUCAGUGGGUAGCCUUUUCAUUUUGUUUAUGGUUUCCUUUGCUGUGCAAAAGCUUUUAAGUUUAAUUAGGUCACAUUUUGUUUAUUUUUUAGUUUAUCUUCAUUACUCUAGCAGGCUUAUGAAGAAAGAUUUUGCUGCAAUUUAUGUUGGAGAGUGUUUUGCCUAUGUUUUCCUCAACAGUUUUAUAUAAUUGGUCUUAUAUUUAGGUCUUUAAUCCAUUUUGAAUAUAUUUUUGUGCAUGGUGUUAGAGAGUACUCACAUCAUUCUGGUUUUACUGCACCAUUUAAUGAAGAAGCUGUCUUUUACCCAUUGUAUAUUCUUGCCUCCUUUGUUGUAGAUUAAUUGACCAUAGAUGUGUGGGUUUGUUUUUAUAAAUACCAUUAUUAUUAUUAUUAUUUUGCUUUUUAGGGCUGUGCCCACGACAUAUGGAGGUUCCCAGAAAAUACAAAAAGACAAUAAAUAAAUAAAUAAACAAACAAAAUACAAAAAGACAAUAAAUAAAUAAACAAACAAACAAACUAUAGUUUUGCUCUUGAUAAUGAUAAUCACACUUCAAAGAACUACAGUACCUGCAGUGUAGGAUGAGAAACAGCGAAUUAAGACCUGCCUUUUGCUCAUUUGGUUAUUCUUAAGAAUUUUAAGGAGAUCCUCAAUCUGACUUAAUGCUACUUUAUGUUUAUGGUAAUGGAGACACUAAACUAAGAAUGUUUGAAAAAGGGAGUAAUCUUGUAGGUACAGUAUGAUCUCAGCUUUCUAAACACAUUUUAUAUAUAGAUAGUACCAUGUAUUAAAAAUGUAAAGAAUAAAGAAAAUGCAUGAAAUCUUAACCAUGGUAAGAGGGGUUAUAUAUGAUUUUAGUUAUUUUUUGGACCCUUACAUGUUUUCUGAUUUUCUGCAAUUAUAUUACUUCCAUAAUUUAAAAAAUGAGUUUGAAAAAGAAACCUCUCCAGCAAGCGUCCUAUUUAUUUUUCUCAUCUUUAAAAUAUCAGUAUGCGAUUUUUAAAAAGUUUCUCUUGGGAGUUCCCGGCAUGGUUCAGUGGUUAACAAAUCCGACUAGGAACCAUGAGGUUGCAGGUUCAAUCCCUGGCCUUGCUCAGUGGGUUAACGAUCCGGCGUUGCCGUGAGCUGUGGUGUAGAUCGUAGACGCGGCUUGGAUCCCGCGUUGCUGUGGCUCUGGCAUAGGCCGGUGGCUACAGCUCCAAUUAGACUCCUAGCCUGGGAACCUCCAUAUGCUGUGGGAGUGGCCCAAGAAAUGGCAAAAAGACAAAAAAAAAAGUUUGCUUUGAAAAAAAUCAAAUAUAGGUCUUAGAAAAAUGUGCAUAAAAGAAUAGUUCACAAUCUUUGAGUAUGAGGAUCCUUCCUUAAUUUUAUAUUUUAAAAAGUAUACACAAUAUGAGUUCUCUUGUGAUGCAGUGCAUUAAAGACCCUGCAUUGUCAUUGCAGCUGAGGCUCACUUUCUAUCUCUAUCUAUCCCAGGAACACUUGGCAAGGUGUAGCC
rnacentral:lncRNA from 1 species